UGAUAAACUACACAUUAUUGUUUGCUUCAGUUGUGAUCUUGAUUAUGGGCUAUUUGGUAUUUUGCUUACAAACUGUAUAGUUAAUUAUCUGUUAGCUUUUGUUUUCCUGUCACAGCUUUAUGUUUAUGUGGCUCAUUGUAGCCGAAAGUUUUAUUUAUCAAUCUUAUUUUUCACAGCAUAAAUGAAACUGUGUUUGAAGAAUCAGGUGCUGCUACAUCAUUCAAGGAAAUUCGUCGUAGAGGUCUUUCUCUUUACCAGAUUUCGUAGCUGAACUUUAAGAAGCAAUCAAACCGGUGUUAACUUCUUAUAUAAAGGUAGAUUCCCAAACUUUGAAGAAACGCUGCAGUACUGAGGUAAUUGAACGUUGUAAGGCAGAGCAUUGGGCUUACCGGAGCCAAGGUAUCUUCUUCGAUAACAAGUAAGGAUAGUCCUGAUACUACCUUUCUUUUGUUAUUGAAAUUUAUUGUUCCUUUUGUUGGGGGCUUGGUGGUUGUGCACCUAUAUUGAUUUGUACUUCUGUUAAUUAAUUAUAGUCAUUCUCUCUUGUCUGAGUAAUUAUUGUCAACCAUUUUGU